GACGAAGGGGGCUAGCGUUGUUCGGAAUUACUGGGCGUAAAGGGCUCGUAGGUGGCCAACUAAGUCGGACGUGAAAUCCCUCGGCUUAACCGGGGAACUGCGUCCGAUACUGGUUGGCUUGAGUUUGGGAGAGGGAUGCGGAAUUCCAGGUGUAGCGGUGAAAUGCGUAGAUAUCUGGAGGAACACCGGUGGCGAAGGCGGCUAUCUGGACAGAGUCUGACGCUGAGGCGCGAAAGCUAGGGGAGCAAACAGG
rnacentral:rRNA from 1 species